GAUGAAAAAUGUGAAAGAUUUGCGGUCUUCCAUUUUAUUAAUCAAUCUAAUCUACAACAGUUGAAAUCAAAAUAAGCCCAAUUGACAGAAUGGGGCUCAUUCCAACCUUUUGGUUCAUAGGCAAAAGAAAUGGAGCAAAAACGUUGUAAACUACAAAGGAUUUAAACCUACAUCAACUUGAUACAAGAAAGAGAUAAAUCGCCGAUCUUUCACAUUUUUCAUCACGCAGGGACUUUACCUAAGAGUUUGAGGACGGCUUCUUUGGU
rnacentral:misc_RNA from 1 species